rnacentral:snRNA from 1 species
UUUCUCUGGUUUCUCUUCAGAUCGUGUAAAUCUUCUGCCUUUUACUAAAGAUUUCCGUGGAGAGGAACAGGCACGAGUGUCAAGAAAUUUUUUGAGGCUCCAUUUUUUUAUUUUUGAAC